GACUAGUACGGCGAGUGAAGCGGUAAAAGCUCAAAUUUGAAAUCUGGUACUUUCAGUGCCCGAGUUGUAAUUUGUAGAAUUUGUCUUUGAUUAGGUCCUUGUCUAUGUUCCUUGGAACAGGACGUCAUAGAGGGUGAGAAUCCCGUUUGGCGAGGAUACCUUUUCUCUGUAAGACUUUUUCGAAGAGUCGAGUUGUUUGGGAAUGCAGCUCAAAGUGGGUGGUAAAUUCCAUCUAAAGCUAAAUAUUGGCGAGAGACCGAUAGCGAACAAGUACAGUGAUGGAAAGAUGAAAAGAACUUUGAAAAGAGAGUGAAAAAGUACGUGAAAUUGUUGAAAGGGAAGGGCAUUUGAUCAGACAUGGUGUUUUUUGCAUGCACUCGCCUCUCGUGGGCUUGGGCCUCUCAAAAAUUUCACUGGGCCAACAUCAAUUCUGGCAGCAGGAUAAAUCAUUAAGAAUGUAGCUACUUCGGUAGUGUUAUAGCUUUUUGGAAUACUGUUAGCCGGGAUUGAGGACUGCGCUUCGGCAAGGAUGUUGGCAUAAUGGUUAAAUGCCGCCCGUCUUGAAAACCCGGAACAAA
rnacentral:rRNA from 1 species